UACGGAGGGGGCUAGCGUUGUUCGGAAUUACUGGGCGUAAAGCGCACGUAGGCGGCUUUGCAAGUCAGAGGUGAAAGCCCGGGGCUCAACCCCGGAAUUGCCUUUGAGACUGCAUCGCUAGAAUUGUGGAGAGGUAAGUGGAAUUCCGAGUGUAGAGGUGAAAUUCGUAGAUAUUCGGAGGAACACCAGUGGCGAAGGCGACUUACUGGACACAUAUUGACGCUGAGGUGCGAAAGCGUGGGGAGCAAACAGG
rnacentral:rRNA from 1 species